AUGUCUCUGUCAGGGCAGGGUGGAUAGGAUUUACCUCUGCUGGGCUCUGUGGAGGUCCUAGUUGGGCCAGGUAUUGAGGUGGCAGGGUGUCUCACCUGUGAGCAUAGUUGUAUUAAAGAACCCGGUAGUUAAGUUAUCUCUGGGAGUGGGAAGGUGUCUGGAGUAGGUCUCUGCCCUGGACAGAGUUGAUGACCUCAAAUUCAGACUCUUACUUUGUCAAAUGCAUAACAAGCCCUACACCCCACU
rnacentral:lncRNA from 1 species